rnacentral:lncRNA from 1 species
AUUCUAGAAUGUGGGUCACAGUUAUAGAAGAGGCCACAAUUAUUAUUGUUGUUGUUGUUAUUAUUAUUAGCGAUGAAACGAGAGAGUUUUUGAUAAGUUAAGAGAACAGGUAUCCUAUUUUGCUGGAGCAUUUACUGCUGAGCUGAGUGAAGCCAGUGUAAACAUCCACCUCCAGGUUGUCGGUCGGUUACUAAGCAACCUCUAGGCUGACGUCAUCAGCUCGCCCAACCGCAAAUAAACCAAGUUUGGGCCGAGUGAGUGUGAGGUCGCUGCUGUUCUGACACACAACUGCGAGCCUUUGCUCGACGCGACAGUUGCUCCUACUGUUUGGUGUGAGAUUGGCAAUUUUUUGUGGAUAUACGUCGCAUUUCUGGAAGCCAGGUGAGUGUUGUCAACUCGAUUCCCUUUUCGAUUAUCGAUUAUAAUCGACGUUACGUACGUUUAACUCCUCCUCGGCGUAAUAUUCGAGAAAUUACUCGAACGGCAAAAUUAAUCUUUUUUUUUUGUUCGGUUCUGCGAUAAUUUCCGGAUGUUAAACGGUGUUUUUUUUUUAUUUAUUUUCGUUUUUUUUCUCGUUUAUAACGAGUCGCCUUCCGAAAAUAGCACUGUCGGUAUCCAGAUUAGUUGCGGUUUUUUUUUAACGCUGGCAGUUUGUUUGCUGAUGCCGAUUUUUCUUUUUUUUUUGUUGUUUUGCGUGGUAGAGGAGAGACAGAAUAGCGCCAGUAAUUACUAACUACGAAUUGUCAUGCCAGACCAGCGAUGAAACGCGGAACUGGGCUCAACUCAGCGGGGGGCGAGUUUUACGGUCCCACUGACCUUUGAUUUACGAUGGUUGGCUGUCUCAUUAUGACUCUCCUAGACUCCGGCUCUGGCUCUAUUGUGACGUACAAUAACUCGGUUGUAUGAACGUCAAGGCCAUCCCCACGUGCCCGACUCUCUCCCCCUUCCCUCGGGGGCCCGUGUCUAUCUGCAGAAACCAUUUCGGGAGGCCCUCGGGAGAGUGGGAGGGAAGAAACUCUGGGCCUUCGCUCGGUUCUUUUUUUUUUUCUUUCGUAGCGGAGAAGGAAGAGGCACGAGUUGGGAGUCCUCGAUUUCGUGAGUUUCGUCACGCAUGACCCAGUUUCGCGUGUGAAGAUUCCGUGACGGAGUUUCCGAGAAGUGAAGUGGGAGAGAGAUAGAGAGAGAGAAGGUUAACCUCUGUAAAUCGCAACGUUUUUCGCUUGUAUAAAACCCAAUUUUCUUACUUUAUACGACACAAAUCUCUUCUCGCUUCGGGAACGAAAAAUGUUAUCCUUUUUUUUCUCUUCUAUCCUUUUUUUUUUUUUUUUAAAGAAAAAUCUAAACGAAAACAUCACUUUUUGACUCUUUAAAUCGAUAUAAAUAACAAACUAGCGAAUAACGAUUCGCACAUUUCUGCUGCAAAACCCAAGAAAUUGCACUUGUCUGUCUUGAUCGAUGGCCUUGUCGAAUCGGUCCACCCCGGAUGCGAAUCAUUCAAUUGACUGUCCCUCAGUACGAUCCUUCACUUGUACAUUAGAACCCGACCAGAAAAAUAUAAAGUUUUUAAAUCCGUUCUACUAAUCAUUUAUGCUACGAAAAGUUAGACACACAUAUAUAUAUAUAUAUAUAAAAAAAAGAACGAGAAAAAUCUUUUUAAAAUUUAAUGAAUAAAC